GUGGGGAAUCUUGCGCAAUGGGCGAAAGCCUGACGCAGCCAUGCCGCGUGAAUGAUGAAGGUCUUAGGAUUGUAAAAUUCUUUCACCGGGGACGAUAAUGACGGUACCCGGAGAAGAAGCCCCGGCUAACUUCGUGCCAGCAGCCGCGGUAAUACGAAGGGGGCUAGCGUUGCUCGGAAUUACUGGGCGUAAAGGGCGCGUAGGCGGACAGUUUAGUCAGAGGUGAAAGCCCAGGGCUCAACCUUGGAAUUGCCUUUGAUACUGGCUGGCUUGAGUACGGGAGAGGUGAGUGGAACUCCGAGUGUAGAGGUGAAAUUCGUAGAUAUUCGGAAGAACACCAGUGGCGAAGGCGACUCACUGGCCCGUUACUGACGCUGAGGCGCGAAAGCGUGGGGAGCAAACAGGAUUAGAUACCCGUGUAGUCC
rnacentral:rRNA from 1 species